rnacentral:tRNA from 1 species
GGGUGCGUAGCUCAGUUGGUUAGAGCAUCGGGCUUUUAACCUGGUGGUCGCAGGUUCGAGUCCUGCCGCACCUA